rnacentral:rRNA from 1 species
AGGUGCUGCAUGGCUGUCGUCAGCUCGUGUCGUGAGAUGUUGGGUUAAGUCCCGCAACGAGCGUAACCCUUGUCUUUAGUUGCCAAUAUUAGGUUAGGCACUCUAAAGAGACUGCCUCGGUUAACGGGGAGGAAGGUGGGGAUGACGUCAAGUCCUCAUGGCCUUUAUACCCAGGGCUACACACGCGCUACAAUGGGCUGUACAAAGGGUUGCCACUCUGCGAGGAGGCGCUAAUCCCAAAAAGCAGUCCUCAGUUCGGAUUGGAGUCUGCAACUCGACUCCAUGAAGGUGGAAUCGCUAGUAAUCGUGGAUCAGCAUGCCACGGUGAAUACGUUCCCGGGCCUUGUACACACCGCCCGUCACACCACGAAAGUCGACUGUACCAGAAGUUGCUGGGCCAACCCCUUUUGGGGGGGCAGGUACCUAAGGUACGGCCGGUAAUUGGGGUGAAGUCGUAACAAGGUA